rnacentral:rRNA from 1 species
GAUCAUGGCUCAGGAUGAACGCUGGCGGCGUGCUUAAUACAUGCAAGUCGAACGAAGACAUCUCGCCGAAGCUUGCUUCAUUGAGAUAUCUUAGUGGCGGACGGGUGAGUAACGCGUGGGUAACCUGCCUUACACAGGGGGAUAACAGUUAGAAAUGACUGCUAAUACCGCAUAAGCGCACAUUAUCGCAUGAUAGAGUGUGAAAAGAUUUAUCGGUGUAAGAUGGACCCGCGUCUGAUUAGCUAGUUGGUGAGGUAACGGCCCACCAAGGCGACGAUCAGUAGCCGGCCUGAGAGGGUGAACGGCCACAUUGGGACUGAGACACGGCCCAAACUCCUACGGGAGGCAGCAGUAGGGAAUAUUGGACAAUGGGGGAAACCCUGAUCCCAGCGACGCCGCGUGAGUGAAGAAGUAUUUCGGUACGUAAAGCUCUAUCAGCAGGGAAGAAAAUGACGGUACCUGACUAAGAAGCACCGGCUAAAUACGUGCCAGCAGCGGC